rnacentral:rRNA from 1 species
GAUGAACGCUAGCGGGAGGCUUAACACAUGCAAGUCGAGCGGUAUCCCGAUUUAUCGGGAGAGAGCGGCGCACGGGUGCGUAACGCGUAUGCAAUCUGCCUUAUGCAGGGGGAUAGCCCGGGGAAACCGAUUAAUACCCCAUAGAUCAGUGGUUCCGCAUGGGACAAUUGGUAAAGAUUUAUCGGCAUAAGAUGAGCAUGCGUCUGAUUAGCUAGUUGGUAGGGUAACGGCCUACCAAGGCGACGAUCAGUAGGGGUUCUGAGAGGAUAAUCCCCCACACUGGUACUGAGACACGGACCAGACUCCUACGGGAGGCUG